AACUCUGGUUCUUGAUUUGGUGCUUGCAUCAUGAUUUACAUUUGAGUCGAGUCGGCGAACUGGUGAGUAACACGUGGGAAACCUGCCCAGAAGCGGGGGAUAACACCUGGAAACAGAUGCUAAUACCGCAUAACAACUUGGACCGCAUGGUCCGAGCUUGAAAGAUGGCUUCGGCUAUCACUUUUGGAUGGUCCCGCGGCGUAUUAGCUAGAUGGUGGGGUAACGGCUCACCAUGGCAAUGAUACGUAGCCGACCUGAGAGGGUAAUCGGCCACAUUGGGACUGAGACACGGCCCAAACUCCUACGGGAGGCAGCAGUAGGGAAUCUUCCACAAUGGACGAAAGUCUGAUGGAGCAACGCCGCGUGAGUGAAGAAGGGUUUCGGCUCGUAAAACUCUGUUGUUAAAGAAGAACAUAUCUGAGAGUAACUGUUCAGGUAUUGACGGUAUUUAACCAGAAAGCCACGGCUAACUACGUGCCAGCAGCCGCGGUAAUACGUAGGUGGCAAGCGUUGUCCGGAUUUAUUGGGCGUAAAGCGAGCGCAGGCGGUUUUUUAAGUCUGAUGUGAAAGCCUUCGGCUCAACCGAAGAAGUGCAUCGGAAACUGGGAAACUUGAGUGCAGAAGAGGACAGUGGAACUCCAUGUGUAGCGGUGAAAUGCGUAGAUAUAUGGAAGAACACCAGUGGCGAAGGCGGCUGUCUGGUCUGUAACUGACGCUGAGGCUCGAAAGUAUGGGUAGCAAACAGGAUUAGAUACCCUGGUAGUCCAUACCGUAAACGAUGAAUGCUAAGUGUUGGAGGGUUUCCGCCCUUCAGUGCUGCAGCUAACGCAUUAAGCAUUCCGCCUGGGGAGUACGGCCGCAAGGCUGAAACUCAAAGGAAUUGACGGGGGCCCGCACAAGCGGUGGAGCAUGUGGUUUAAUUCGAAGCUACGCGAAGAACCUUACCAGGUCUUGACAUACUAUGCAAAUCUAAGAGAUUAGACGUUCCCUUCGGGGACAUGGAUACAGGUGGUGCAUGGUUGUCGUCAGCUCGUGUCGUGAGAUGUUGGGUUAAGUCCCGCAACGAGCGCAACCCUUAUUAUCAGUUGCCAGCAUUAAGUUGGGCACUCUGGUGAGACUGCCGGUGACAAACCGGAGGAAGGUGGGGAUGACGUCAAAUCAUCAUGCCCCUUAUGACCUGGGCUACACACGUGCUACAAUGGAUGGUACAACGAGUUGCGAACUCGCGAGAGUAAGCUAAUCUCUUAAAGCCAUUCUCAGUUCGGAUUGUAGGCUGCAACUCGCCUACAUGAAGUCGGAAUCGCUAGUAAUCGCGGAUCAGCAUGCCGCGGUGAAUACGUUCCCGGGCCUUGUACACACCGCCCGUCACACCAUGAGAGUUUGUAACACCCAAAGUCGGUGGGGUA
rnacentral:rRNA from 1 species